rnacentral:tRNA from 1 species
GCCUGGGUGGCUCAGUCGGUUGAGCAGCCGACUUCGGCUCAGGUCAUGAUCUCGCGGUUUGUGGGUUAGAGUCCCGCAUCGGGCU